ensembl:snRNA U6 U6 spliceosomal RNA
GUACUUACUUCAGCAGCAUAUAUACUAAAAUUGGAAUGACACAUAGAAGAUUAGCGUGGCCCCUGCACAAGGAUGACACUCAAAUUCAUGAAGCAUUUCAUAUUUAA